UGGAAAAAACAACUAAAGUGUAAAAGCCACAGUUGUAGAUAAGAAGUUAGGAAUCAUAAAUAUACAAAGCGUUUUAAUUUUUAACUGUAUGUAAUGAUUAUACAGCAUUACUGACGAAAUACAAUUCUGAACAUAUUUUGAAAUGUCGUGAUUUUUACGAUUUUUAUUCAAGUUUGAACUUUAAAUAAAUAUAUAAAGCAGCAGUGCUGUCCGAAUUACCCUCUCUAGGCUGUCAUCCCAAGAAUUACUAACCAGAAUGGUUUAAGAAUUGUACCAUGUAUAGAAAAAGUUAUUAUCAAUGUUUUGUAAACAGUUUCAGGUCUCAACGAUUUUUUUUAACCAAAAUACAAAAAAAAAAACUAUUAUUGCCUACCCUAGAUGUUUUUUUUUUAAACUAUAAUGAAAAAUACUCGAAAAAUCAAAUAAUGACUUCCUUAAUAUGCCAAUUAGAUCCAAAAUUUAACCAAAACCGUUUCUUGUAUUUUGUUGAUCAGAGCACGAUUUCUUAUGGAAAAGUCGCUUAUAGGCACAAAAACAAAAAAUAAAUAAAUCCCACUCAUCAUAGAGCAGGAAUUGAAAAUAAGUGACAAGCGUACCAAGCAUGGCAUGGGUGAAAUUUUCGAUGGCACCGGAAAGACUAGCAUGUGUCCAUAAAUAUUUUUUUAGAUUUUUAGAUUACACAUAUUGACAGAACUAAAUUUUCGAUUGUAUAUUAAUAAUCUGUAUUUUAUUUAUUAUUCUAUCAAAAGUUUUACGAUUUCGUUGUCAACAAUUUUCUCUUUGACUUAUGCUUACGAGAGUCUAUUUUCCGUAUUAAAUUAUGUGCGCUCUAAGACUAGAAACAGAUUAACCGAGAAAGAGGCAAUCAAAAAUAUAUCACCCAGACAUAACAAAUUUUCCAAGUAAAAGGAUGUAAAAGGUUCCUUACAAACAAUGAAAGUUCAUUUUUCCAUAAUUACCUACUACGAUUAGUUUUAUAUUUAUAUUUUGAAAUAAAUUCUCUGUGUAAUAAACAGUAAUAAUGAUAAUAAUGAUACUAAAAUCAUCAUAGAUAAUAUACAUCAUACUUAUU